rnacentral:rRNA from 1 species
CCUACGGGAGGCAGCAGUGGGGAAUCUUGCGCAAUGGACGAAAGUCUGACGCAGCCACGCCGCGUGAGUGAAGAAGGCCUUCGGGUUGUAAAGCUCUGUCGAGCGGGACGAAAAGCUCAUGAGUGAAUAGCUGAUGAGUCUGACGGUACCACUAAAGGAAGCACCGGCUAACUCCGUGCCAGCAGCCGCGGUAAUACGGAGGGUGCAAGCGUUGCUCGGAAUUAUUGGGCGUAAAGGGCAAGUAGGUGGUCUCAUUUGUCUAGGGUGAAAUCCUUGGGCUUAACCCGAGAAGGGCCUUAGAAACGGUGAGACUCGAGUCCUAGAGAGGGUCGUGGAAUUCCCGGUGUAGCGGUGAAAUGCGUAGAGAUCGGGAGGAACACCAGAGGCGAAGGCGGCGACCUGGAUAGGCACUGACACUCAACUGCGAAGGCGUGGGGAGCAAACAGGAUUAGAUACCCUGGUAGUCCACGCUGUAAACGAUGGAUACUAGACUAGGUGGGUCUUGACCCCUGCCGAGUCGGAGCUAACGCACUAAGUAUCCCGCCUGGGAAGUACGGUCGCAAGGCUAAAACUCAAAGGAAUUGACGG